rnacentral:rRNA from 1 species
UUAAGUUAAUAAGGGCGCACGGUGGAUGCCUUGGCACUAGAAGCCGAUGAAGGACGUGACUAACGACGAAAUGCUUUGGGGAGCUGUAAGUGAGCAAUGAUCCAGAGAUGUCCGAAUGGGGGAACCCGGCAGGUAAUGCCUGUCACUCAUUACUGUUAAGGUAAUGUAGAGGAAGACGCAGUGAACUGAAACAUCUAAGUAGCUGCAGGAAGAGAAAGCAAAAGCGAUUGCCUUAGUAGCGGCGAGCGAAACGGCAAGAGGGCAAACCGAAGAGUUUACUCUUCGGGGUUGUAGGACUGCAACGUGGACUUAAAGAGUAUAGAAGAACUACCUGGGAAGGUAGGCCAAAGAGAGUAAUAGCCUCGUAUUCGAAAUAGUCUUUAUACCUAGCAGUAUCCUGAGUACGGCGAGACACGAGAAAUCUCGUCGGAAUCUGGGAGGACCAUCUCCCAACCCUAAAUACUCUCUAGUGACCGAUAGUGAACCAGUACCGUGAGGGAAAGGUGAAAAGCACCCCGGGAGGGGAGUGAAAUAGAACCUGAAACCGUGUGCCUACAACAAGUUCGAGCCCGUUAAUGGGUGAGAGCGUGCCUUUUGUAGAAUGAACCGGCGAGUUACGAUAUGAUGCGAGGUUAAGUUGAAGAGACGGAGCCGUAGGGAAACCGAGUCUUAAUAGGGCGCAUUAGUAUCAUGUCGUAGACCCGAAACCAUGUGACCUACCCAUGAGCAGGUUGAAGGUGAGGUAAAACUCACUGGAGGACCGAACCAGGGCACGUUGAAAAGUGCUUGGAUGACUUGUGGGUAGCGGAGAAAUUCCAAACGAACUUGGAGAUAGCUGGUUCUCUCCGAAAUAGCUUUAGGGCUAGCGUCGAUGUUAAGUCUCUUGGAGGUAGAGCACUGUUUGGGUGAGGGGUCCAUCCCGGAUUACCAAUCUCAGAUAAACUCCGAAUGCCAACGAGAUAUAAUCGGCAGUCAGACUGCGAGUGCUAAGAUCCGUAGUCGAAAGGGAAACAGCCCAGACCACCAGCUAAGGUCCCAAAAUAUAUGUUAAGUGGAAAAGGAUGUGGGGUUGCACAGACAACUAGGAUGUUAGCUUAGAAGCAGCUAUUCAUUCAAAGAGUGCGUAAUAGCUCACUAGUCGAGUGACCCUGCGCCGAAAAUGUACCGGGGCUAAAACAUAUUACCGAAGCUGUGGAUACCUUUAUAGGUAUGGUAGGAGAGCGUUCUAUGUGCGAAGAAGGUGUACCGUGAGGAGUGCUGGAGCGCAUAGAAGUGAGAAUGCCGGUAUGAGUAGCGAAAGACAGGUGAGAAUCCUGUCCACCGUAAGACUAAGGUUUCCAGGGGAAGGCUCGUCCGCCCUGGGUUAGUCGGGACCUAAGGAGAGACCGAAAGGUGUAUCCGAUGGACAACAGGUUGAUAUUCCUGUACUAGAGUAUAUAGUGAUGGAGGGACGCAGUAGGCUAACUAAACCAGACGAUUGGAAGUGUCUGGCCAAGCAGUGAGGUGUGAUAUGAGUCAAAUGCUUAUAUCUAUAACAUUGAGCUGUGAUGGGUAGCGAAGUUUAGUAGCGAAGUUAGUGAUGUCACACUGCCAAGAAAAGCUUCUAGCGUUAAUUAUACUCUACCCGUACCGCAAACCGACACAGGUAGUCGAGGCGAGUAGCCUCAGGUGAGCGAGAGAACUCUCGUUAAGGAACUCGGCAAAAUGGCCCCGUAACUUCGGGAGAAGGGGCGCUGACUUAUGGUCAGCCGCAGUGAAUAGGCCCAAGCAACUGUUUAUCAAAAACACAGCUCUCUGCUAAAUCGUAAGAUGAUGUAUAGGGGGUGACGCCUGCCCGGUGCUGGAAGGUUAAGAGGAGUGCUUAGCGUAAGCGAAGGUAUGAAUUGAAGCCCCAGUAAACGGCGGCCGUAACUAUAACGGUCCUAAGGUAGCGAAAUUCCUUGUCGGGUAAGUUCC